GGGUAUGGUAAUAGUAUGUGGAAUAGGGAGAAUCUGCAGCCCAAGCCCCUUUUCUUGGGGUGCAGUUCACAGGCCCAAAUGGUAGUGGGCACUCUGGUGCUUAAGAUAUGGUCGAGUCCCAAUUGAAAAGUUGGGUACAAGUACUCUGAUUGAUUACAUGCAGUCCAUGCUCGUUGUAAAUGCAAAUGUUCCGUAGGUGAACCUGC
rnacentral:rRNA from 1 species